AGCUCCAACAGCGUACAUUACAGUUUUUGCAGUUAAAAAGCUCGUAGUUGAACUUGUGGCCUGGAUGGCUUGGUCUGACACUUAUGCGUGAGUACCUGAGCCAUCCAACCAUCCUUGGGUGGAACCUGUGUGGCAUUAAGUUGUCGUGUAGGGGAUGCCCAUCAUUUACUGUGAAAAAAUUAGAGUGUUCAAAGCAGGCUUAUGCCUUUGAAUAUAUUAGCAUUGAAUAAUGAUAUAGGGCUUUGGUACUAUUUUGUUGGUUUGUGCACUAAGGUAAUGAUUUAUAGGGACAGUUGGGGAUAUUAGUAUUUUUAGGUCAGAGGUGAAAUUCUUGGAUUCUUUAAAGACUAACUACUGCAAAAGCAUUUAUCAAGGCUGUUUUCA
rnacentral:rRNA from 1 species